GAACAGCCAGUGUUCUUAACCCCUGAGCCGUCUCUCCAGCCCCUAAUGCCUGUGUUUUUACGCAUUAAGAAAAAAUUGGGGUUGUCUGAUGUGGUGGCGCAGGCUUUUAAUCCCAGCAGAGGCAGUGGCAGGCAGAUCUGUAAGUUUGAGGCCAACCUGGUCUACAUAGUGAGUUACAAGCCAGCCAGGAUACAUAGUGAGACCAAAAGAAAGAAAGAAAAAAGAUGUUGUGCAUAAGCUUGGUGCCAAAAGAAGACUUAGACUUGGAACUGGCCUCCAGGCGCAAUAUGAUUAUUUAAAGUUGAAAACCAAAUUCCUGUGUCUGCCAGUACUCACUAGCCAAGGGGCUCAGCUUUGAACCUGGAUGAAAAUAUCUAAUAUUACUUAAAUAGGGAAGGUGGGGGCAUAAUAGAAUUAACCUUGUCCUUGGUGGGCUCGCAGGGGGGACAUACAAACCUUGAGUCUACCAAGCAAUACCCAGAGAACUCAUUGUAAAUUAAGUCCAGAUCAAUCCAAAAAAUGCAGGAAACUGUUGUUUUCAAAUAUUAAUGACAGAAAGUAUUUGGUAAAGUGUAAAACAGUAUAAUCUGUGUUUCUAUCUCCUUUUGUUUUUUUACCACAUGUUGGUCUUUAUAGUGCGUCAGAAUAACCAUGCAUACAAUUACUACAUUAUAAAUCACUAUUGAUAAUGCACUGGCAAAACAUACUUCCAUCUUUUUAGCCACAAGGAAUUUAAUUUCAGACAGUAUGAAUAACAUUCCCAGUGUUGUAGGGUAGUGAAAGUGACUUUCUGUGUUUUUCAAAAAUUAGGUUAAAACUGCUAAGGAGUACAUAUAGUCCAUGUCUUUUCCUAGAACUCUAAGGUGGAAUCUUUGGUUAAUAUAGUAGGCUUGCAUCUAGUGUUUAGUUAGAUAGGUCAUUCAGAAACCUUUGUGCUCCCCUGUAAUUUGUAAUUCCAUCACUUGAAAAAUAUAGUAGAAAAUUCAGUUGUUUCAAAUGAAAAUAAGCAGUGGUUGAGACAAAAACAGGUAAGAAUACCCUUCACUAAUCACACACAUAAAUUCUGCUUACCCUGUGACCACUAAUUCCUGUCCAUUCACCUUUCUUACAUAAGCAUUCCCCAAACCAUUCCUUCUUUGACACCCACCAAGACCUCCAAUAGUUGGCCUCUCUUUUCUUACUGUAGUAAUUUCCCUGGCCUGCUUAUUUCCAUCAAGACAGUUGAAAGUCAAAUGGGUAGUACAAACCUAUAAUCCCAGCCAUUUUAAGGGCUACAUAGUGAGACCUUGUUGGAAAAAAGUAAAAGAAAAAAAAUCUAUUAAAAAACUCCACUGAUAUGUGUAUUUCUUACUAAGCUUGACACAUUAUUAAAAAGCUAAAAUUAUUACUCUGUCUAAACACAUAUUUCUAUCAAUAUAGGCAGUAACUGUUGUUGCCUAUAGACCUCAUUCUCAAUAAUGUAGAAAGUUUACAAGUCUACAUCUACUUCAUAGCUCCAUUAUAUUAUAUGGUAUAUGGGCAGAAUCUUGUGUCAGAUCCAUGGCAACAGUUUCUAUCCAUAAUUUCCCCAGUUUUGGUCUACCAGCUGCUGCCACAGAGGCUAGUUGAAUAAACUCAGCACGAGUAUUCAUAGAGCUUUAAUAAAGUGAGGAUUGAAAUUGUCACAGCUGCCCUUGUGGAGCUUCACACCAGAUCCUGGCUCUGCUCAACUUUGAAGAGACUACCAGGGUACACACAGAAGAGUAACAGUUAUAGGGUCUUAUCAUGAAGUUCUGGAGAGAUAUCAAGAGCAGUUGCAUUACCUUGUAAUGCUUGGAGGUCUAUGAGUCCCCAUUGACCAACAACUUGAAAAAAAAGUGUAGACUGAAGAAGACCAGCAGCUCUCCAGGAAUCUUCCACGCCUUCAGCACCAGAUUGAGAUUGCUGAGACAUCCAGCCUUGUGAACUGAGCAGCCACCAUAUUCUCGGCCUCUCCAGUCUGAGGCAGCUGUUGUUGGACUACCCAAACCAUUUCAUAUAAGCCAAUUGUAUGAGUUAGUUUUUGUUACUGUGAUAAAA